rnacentral:sRNA from 1 species
AGGGGAAUUUUCCGCAAUGGGGAAUUUUUCCGCAAUGGGCGCAAGCCUGACGGAGCAAGACCGCGUGCGGGAGGACGGCCUAUUGGUUGUAAACCGCUUUUGAUAGGGAAGAAGUUCUGACGGUACCUAUCGAAUCAGCAUCGGCUAACUCCGUGCCAGCAGCCGCGGUAAUACGGAGGAUGCAAGCGUUAUCCGGAAUUAUUGGGCGUAAAGCGUCCGUAGGUGGUUGUUCAAGUCUGCUGUUAAAGCGUGCGGCUUAACCGCAUACCAGCAGUGGAAACUGGGCGACUAGAGUGCGGUAGGGGUCAGGGGAAUUCCCAGUGUAGCGGUGAAAUGCGUAGAUAUUGGGAAGAACACCGGUGGCGAAAGCGCCUGACUGGACCUGCACUGACACUGAGGGACGAAAGCUAGGGGAGCGAAAGGGAUUAGAUACCCCUGUAGUCCUAGCCGUAAACGAUGGACACUAGGUGUUGCCCGUAUCGACCCGGGCAGUGCCGUAGCCAACGCGUUAAGUGUCCCGCCUGGGGAGUACGCUCGCAAGAGUGAAACUCAAAGGAAUUGACGGGGGCCCGCACAAGCGGUGGAGUAUGUGGUUUAAUUCGAUGCAACGCGAAGAACCUUACCAGGGCUUGACAUGUCCAGAACCCUCCUGAAAGGGAGGGGUGCCUUCGGGAACUGGAGCACAGGUGGUGCAUGGCGGUCGUCAGCUGGUGUCGUGAGAUGUUGGGUUAAGUCCCGCAACGAGCGCAACCCUCGUUUUUAGUUGCCAUCAUUCAGUUGGGCACUCUAGAGAGACUGCCGGUGACAAACCGGAGGAAGGUGGGGAUGACGUCAAGUCAGCAUGCCCCUUACGUCCUGGGCUACACACGUACUACAAUGCUGCGGACAAAGGGUUGCAAGCUCGCGAGAGCAAGCUAAUCCCAUAAACCGUGGCUCAGUUCAGAUUGCAGGCUGCAACUCGCCUGCAUGAAGGAGGAAUCGCUAGUAAUCGCAGGUCAGCAUACUGCGGUGAAUACGUUCCCGGGCCUUGUACACACCGCCCGUCAAAGCAUGGGAGUUGGCCACGCCCGAAGUCGUUACUCCAACCCU